rnacentral:rRNA from 1 species
GUCCAUGGCCAUGCUACACUGAACAAGCCGAUCCCAUCUGAUCUUGGAAGCUAAGCAGGGUUGGGCCUGGUUAGUACUUGGAUGGGAGACCACCUAGGAAGACCACAUGCUGUAGGCA